CCCGAUUUACGCAUCACAACACUUUUAACUAUCUACUGAUGUAACUCUUACUAACCUAUUUAAUAUACGUAUUGUACAGCACUUAUUUUAAGGGGAACAUGAAGGGUAUAUGUGCCGGUUAUAUAAGUAUUCACUGUGUAAGUAGAUUGCGGUUGUUACUAGCCAGUGUUAAUGCUAUCCAUAUUACGUGUGUGACUCACUAUCUACUUAACUUGUCUAACCGUAGCCAUGACUGCCUAACAAUUCUUGAGCCUGCUGUCAUUUGCUUGAAUAAUAUAACGGACAGCCGUGAGAAAGCUAC